GAGCGGCGAACGGGUGAGUAACACGUGAGCAACCUACCCUCAACUUUGGGAUAAGCCUCGGAAACGGGGUCUAAUACCGGAUAUGACCAUAGGCUUCAUGGUUUGUGGUUGAAAGUUCUGGCGGUUGGGGAUGGGCUCGCGGCCUAUCAGCUUGUUGGUGGGGUAAUGGCCUACCAAGGCUUCGACGGGUAGCCGGCCUGAGAGGGCGACCGGCCACACUGGGACUGAGACACGGCCCAGACUCCUACGGGAGGCAGCAGUGGGGAAUAUUGCGCAAUGGACGAAAGUCUGACGCAGCAACGCCGCGUGAGGGAUGACGGCCUUCGGGUUGUAAACCUCUUUCAGCAGGGACGAAGCGAGAGUGACGGUACCUGCAGAAGAAGGACCGGCCAACUACGUGCCAGCAGCCGCGGUAAUACGUAGGGUCCGAGCGUUGUCCGGAAUUAUUGGGCGUAAAGGGCUCGUAGGCGGUUCGUCACGUCGGGAGUGAAAACUCGGAGCUUAACUCCGAGCCUGCUUCCGAUACGGGCAGACUAGAGGUAGGCAGGGGAGAGCGGAACUCCU
rnacentral:rRNA from 1 species